UACAGAGGUCUCAAGCGUUGUUCGGAUUCACUGGGUUUAAAGGGUGCGUAGGUGGGCAGGUAAGUCAGUGGUGAAAUCUCCGGGCUUAACCCGGAAACUGCCGUUGAUACUAUCUGUCUUGAAUAUCGUGGAGAUGAGCGGAAUACGUCAUGUAGCGGUGAAAUGCUUAGAUAUGACGUAGAACACCGAUUGCGAAGGCAGCUCGUUACACGGUUAUUGACACUGAGGCACGAAAGCGUGGGGAUCAAACAGG
rnacentral:rRNA from 1 species